rnacentral:rRNA from 1 species
CCAGACUCCUACGGGAGGCAGCAGUGGGGAAUAUUGCACAAUGGGGGAAACCCUGAUGCAGCAACGCCGCGUGGGUGAAGGAGCGUUUCGGCGCGUAAAGCCCUGUCAGCGGGGAAGAAGAAAGACGGUACCCGACCAAGAAGCCCCGGCUAACUACGUGCCAGCAGCCGCGGUAAUACGUAGGGGGCGAGCGUUAUCCGGAAUUACUGGGUGUAAAGGGAGCGUAGACGGCCAUGCAAGCUCGGUGUGAAAGGUGCGGGCACAACCCGCAGACUGCACUGAGAACUGUAUGGCUGGAGUGCCGGAGGGGCAGGCGGAAUUCCUGGUGUAGCGGUGAAAUGCGUAGAUAUCAGGAGGAACACCAGUGGCGAAGGCGGCUUACUGGACAGUAACUGACGUUGAGGCUCGAAAGCGUGGGGAGCAAACAGGAUUAGAUACCCCUGUA